rfam:Rattus norvegicus chromosome 17, whole genome shotgun sequence.
GGAGAUUUAGCUCAGUGGUAGAGCGCUUGCCUAGGAAGCGCAAGGCCCUGGGUUCGGUCCCCAGUUCCG